GAUUCUCUCAGAGAAAACAGAAAUCAAUUAUUAUCCUGCCAGCUGGAGAAAAUCACGGAUAUCCAAACAUAAUGGCUUUUCUAGGCAUAGCAUAUAUACACAUUUGAAGGUCAUGGUCUUAUCUAUAGUAGGUGUUCAACAAAUGCUAUCAAGAAAUGAUCUCCCUGAACAAUCUGGAUCUUAAGUAGGGAGGAAGUUGGAUGCUAGGGAAGUUUGCAGAAUCUAGCUACAUUCAGAGAGGCCUGUUCUCGAGUACAAUGUUGGAGGAGAAUAGAAGCUUUUCCUCUCCUCCUGGUCUUUGGAAUCCCUAAUUCCCAACUGUAGAAGGAAAAUAUCAAGCAGGAUAUAAGGAAGACAAAUUUUCCUCCAAGUCUUGACUGAGACUGAGUCUACAUGACACCAAAACACCCAAAUGAAAAAGAAAAAUUCACUUGAACCACUUAGAUGUUUCUUCACCAAAUCCAGAUGUUUGGCAGUGCAGAUAAUACUUCUGGAUAAUGAGUGACUCCCCCUAC
rnacentral:lncRNA from 1 species